GCGGGGAUAGCUCAGUUGGGAGAGCGUCAGACUGAAGAUCUGAAGGUCGCGUGUUCGUUCACGCUCACCGCA